ensembl:lncRNA
ACAUUGUGAUGCCUCUUACCUUCCCUCCCUCCAUUUCUCCUCUGCUUCUCCAGAUCCCUCUCCUAUACUAUGUCAUUCCCUGGUGACCGCAGCAAUGCCCCUGGUGACCGCCUGCUGCCCUCUUCUUGUUGAAGCUGUCGAGUGCUGAGAUGUCCCAAAGUUCAAUCUUGUCAUGCUCAGGCAUCGCUUUCUGCCACCCUCUAUCCAUCAACCGAGCUCUGCCUGACUUGGAAGUUAAUGUCAAGCUGAUGUGGAGUGACAGUGGGCGCCCUGUCUGGCAGGCCCAGAGUGCGGGCCACCAUAUUGCCUGGCUCCCCAGGGAGGACAGAUCAGCAUGCCAGCCUUGCCAGAAAGUGCUAAUAGGCGCAACACGUCUUACUUUCACACAUUAAGGCGAGCAAAGGGUGACAUAUCGGAGCUGUGAUACUGCCGCAUGGAAAAAAGGUCUGCGCCACCCGUUUGCCAUGCGGCAACAGCUAAUGAUGAGCGCUGCUAAGCUGCGCUACAUGUCUGCCAAAUCUGAGCUGAAAUGCAUCCUGACAGAGACCGCCGUGAUACCAGUCACGAGAGCAAAUGAAGCCAACUUACAAAAACACCUGGCUGAUUGCAAAAAGUUUUUAAAAUAGGAGAAAAAUUAGAGAGAAAUAUGUAAUAUUUCAAUUUGGAAUACUGGUUGUUAUUUUUUUUUUCAGCCAUGACUGGGGACUGUGAGUCACUCUUCCUGUUAGUGGAAACAAACUCAUGGUCACACUAACUCUAACUCUAACUCUAUGCAUACUAGUGUGUCACCAACAAGAAAAGGGGGUUUGUGAAAAAAACCACAGAGCUUGCAAGGUGUCACCGCAAAGCCUAAUGAAAACACUAUGGUUUCCACAGAUAUUGAUUUCAUCUAUGGACCAGACCUCUAAUCUGCUUCAGAAACCAAUGAUUUAGAUUUAGAAAUUGUGCAGUUGACAUGUUAAUGUGAUAGGAUGUUUGUUUCCUGUUGUGUUAUUUGUGGAUAUUGCAAAUAAGAGGCAUGCAUACUGCAAUAUAAAAUGUCUUUGAUGAGGUCAUAUUGUUGGUAGAAAAAUGGGGUCACCUGGGCGAAGGUUUGAGCAUGAGGAGGUUUCUUUUGUACAAGUGCAUUGUGCAACAUUUCCGGCAUGAUAUGUGCAGAAAGUGAUUUUUUUAUUCAGUGUUUUUGUCUUGUUUUCCAGUACAAAUAUCUCAAUGUUCUUAAAUCAAGAAACAUUUACUUGAGAAGCAAAAUGAUGUCUAGUAUUUUGGAAAACAAAAUGAAAAUCACUUUUUCCAGUGCAAUGUAUAACAUAUUAAAUGUAGUACAAACUGUACACAGAAUAUUUUGUCAUUUAUUUUGAAAAAAAAAACAAGAAAUGGGCAGAAAUCUUU